CCUACGGGUGGCAGCAGUGGGGAAUUUUGCACAAUGGGGGAAACCCUGAUGCAGCGACGCCGCGUGAAGGAAGACGUCUUUCGGUAUGUAAACUUCUAUCAGCGGGGAAGAAAAUGACGGUACCCGACUAAGAAGCCGCGGCUAACUACGUACCAGCAGCCACGGUAAUACGUAGGGGGAAAGCGUUCUCCGGAUUUACUGGGUGUAAAGGGAACGUAGGCGGUUUAGCAAGUCAGAAGUGAAAGCCCGGGGCUUAACCCCGGGACUGCUUUUGAAACUGCUUAACUAGAUUGCAGCAGAGGUAAGUGGAAUUCCAAGUGUAGCGGUGAAAUGCGUAGAUAUGAGGAGGAACACCAGUGGCGAAGGCAGCCUACUGGACCGUAAAUGACGCUGAGGCUCGAAAGCGUGGGGAGCAAACAGGAUUAGAUACCCUUGUAGUC
rnacentral:rRNA from 1 species